AGGGAAUAUUGCGCAAUGGGGGUAACCCUGACGCAGCAACGCCGCGUGAGUGAGGAAGGCCUUCGGGUUGUAAAGCUCUGUCCUUAGGGAAAAAUGGUUUAUGUAUGAACAAUAUAUAGAUUUGAUGGUACCUGAGAAGAAAGCACCGGCUAACUUCGUGCCAGCAGCCGCGGUAAUACGAAGGGUGCAAGCGUUGUUCAGAUUUAUUGGGCGUAAAGGGCGUGUAGGCGGGUAAUUAAGUCAGGUGUGAAAUCUCGGGGCCUAACCCCGAAAGUGCGCCUGAAACUGGUUACCUAGAAUCUCGAAGGGGGAUAGGGAAUUUCGCAUGUAGGAGUAAAAUCCGUAGAGAUGCGAAGGAACACCCGGGGCGAAGGCGCUAUCCUGGUCGAGUAUUGACGCUAAGGCGCGAAAGCGUGGGGAUCAAAC
rnacentral:rRNA from 1 species